rnacentral:lncRNA from 1 species
GCUUAUGGAUAUGAAAAGGCUUUCCCAAAGAAGCCAUGGAGUAGAAUCCAGGUCUCCCAGUUCGUGAUCAGUCUUCCAUCUCCCUGGUGGGCCAGAGAUAUUUCAAGUUGGCAGAGUCAAGCAUGAGCAAGGAGAUGGUGUGGGGCAGAGUGUGAACCAUAUAUUCCUAGACCCCAGGACCCAAUUGUAGCCACUUCAGCUGGCCCAGGCUUUCCCGAAAUGUGAAGACAGCAAACUCCCACUCUUCCUCCUGCAGACUGGUGGCAAAAACACAAAGUCCACUUGAGACCAUGAAGUCCAAGGAUCUUUUCUUAUUCCUGGAAUAUACUAGGAAAAAUACAGGCACCGUGCAGCGGGUGCUGUGUUCUAGCUGCUCUGUUAACUGCCAGUUACCUCAUUUGAUCCUGAUGACAACCCUUGGGUAGGUAUUGUGGUUACCUCCAUUCUAUCUCUGGAAGAACUAAGAAUGGAGGUUAAGUAACUUUCCUGAGGCUCCUUAGCUAAGUCUCUAGGACUGGAAUGGAGCCAGGCAGCCUGACUCAAGA